GGUCCUCUGGCGCAACGGUAGCGCGUUUGACUCCAGUGCUUACCACUGUGGAAUCAAAAGGUUAUCCGUUCAAAUCGGGUGGGGAUCA